rnacentral:rRNA from 1 species
AGAUUGAACGCUGGCGGCAGGCCUAACACAUGCAAGUCGAGCGGUAGAGAGGUGCUUGCACCUCUUGAGAGCGGCGGACGGGUGAGUAAUGCCUAGGAAUCUGCCUAGUGGUGGGGGAUAACGUUCGGAAACGGACGCUAAUACCGCAUACGUCCUACGGGAGAAAGCGGGGGACCUUCGGGCCUCGCGCCAUUAGAUGAGCCUAGGUCGGAUUAGCUAGUUGGUGAGGUAAUGGCUCACCAAGGCGACGAUCCGUAACUGGUCUGAGAGGAUGAUCAGUCACAC